UACGGAGGGUGCAAGCGUUGUCCGGAUUUAUUGGGUUUAAAGGGUGCGUAGGCGGCCGUUUAAGUCGGCGGUGAAAGUUUAUGGCUCAACCAUGAAAUUGCCGUUGAUACUGGGCGGCUUGAGUGUCGAUGGGGUACAUGGAAUUGAUGGUGUAGCGGUGAAAUGCAUAGAUACCAUCAGGAACACCGAUAGCGAAGGCAUUGUACUUAUCGACAACUGACGCUGAGGCACGAAAGCGCGGGUAUCGAACAGG
rnacentral:rRNA from 1 species